ACAGAUUCCAGUUCAGACAAGGAAAACAAAGACGUUCAUGGAUCUAUUCGUCUGGAACAAGAACAUGUUAAAACACCAUUUUCUAUUGGAGUGGGUCUGAUACUGUAGGUGAGGGGUCUGCAACCCGAGGCUCCGGACCCACGUGUUUAACCCCUCCACACCGGCUCUCUGGCUAAAGAAAAAUAAAAUAAAAGUAAUUUUUAAAAGUA